GUAGAACGUUUCACCAUCAAAGUGCGAACAUAAACAGGUCUCUGUCUUCGUUUUGACCACGUCGGUAGCAGGUCACAACAACUCUGGCAGAUGCAAAGACCAGGCUUUGACUUCUUUCUACUCCAAGGCUGAUCAUGCUUGGAGAUUCAAUUCUGCGCAGCAAAAAA